rnacentral:rRNA from 1 species
GACAGAGGCCUCAAGCGUUAGGCGGAAUCACUGGGCUUAAAGCGUGUGUAGGCGGGUCGUUAAGUACCUUGUGAAAUCCCACGGCUCACCCGUGGAACUGCUGGGUAUACUGGCGAUCUUGGGCCAACUAGGGGCAACUGGAACAAGCGGUGGAGCGGUGAAAUGCGUAGAUAUCGCUUGGAACGCCAAAGGUGAAAACAGGUUGCUGGGGUUGUGCCG